rnacentral:snoRNA from 1 species
GGCCGAUGAUUACCUAUAUUUGCUACUCUUGACUUUUGAGUGAUGAGCAUAAACCAAGAUCUCUGAGGUC